UUAAGAGAAAACUCUUAACUAAGAACUUUUACUGCCAUUUAGGAAAACUCUUAGUGGUAAGAUAAAAUGUUUUGUGAAUACGGCCCCAAGAGUUUAGUCAAUUUAACAUAAUAUUUUAGGAUCCAUCAGAUUACUACGUGAUGCUGUAUCACUUGAACUGACUGACUAUGAAGCGCGCAAUUUGUGGUGGCCAUUUUAAAAAAGUUUUACGAUAACUUCUGUCAGGAUAAGACUGUUCAUCCACGGCGAGGGCAUUUCUUGAAUGAAGAAAAAAAAACUUUGAUCAUCUGACUUUGAUAGAGUCAAGAUCAAAGAAUUCAAAAGAUUGACGGCUGUCGAUGUGGAAUCCACCUUCAUUGGAAAUUUGGACAAUUACAUAGAACAGCUCUUUCGUUUAUUUCGCACUAAGGGAGGAUGUGCAGGAUGCAAAAUCUGUGAUUUGAUGAAAUUGCUGGACCAGGAUCACUGCGUGGACAUUUGCAGAGAGGUGGUGAUAUGCUGUCUGAUCGUAUACCUGUCUGAGAACACAGAGAGUCUGAUUGCACAUUACCUGGACACUAAUGGGGAAGUGGACCAACAAGACAUUGGAGAGCACACACUGAAAAUUGUGACCAAAGGGGGCUCUCCAAAUGUGAGUCCUUUAGAGGCAGGAAUAAUCUUACAAGGUGUUGAGGUUC